GAUGAACGCUAGCGGCAGGCUUAAUACAUGCAAGUCGUGGGGCAGCAUAGGGUAGCAAUACUCUGAUGGCGACCGGCAAACGGGUGCGGAACACGUACGCAACCUUCCUUUAACUGGAGAAUAGCCCCUCGAAAGAGGGAUUAAUACUCCGUAAUAUAAUGAUAAGGCAUCUUAUUAUUAUUAUAGCUCCGGCGGUUAGAGAUGGGCGUGCGCCUGAUUAGGUAGNGGUCGGGGUAAGUGCCCACCAAGCCUGCGAUCAGUAACUGGUGUGAGAGCACGACCAGUCACACGGGC
rnacentral:rRNA from 1 species